GGCAGCGCGGGCGCGCGGACAUGGCUGCGGCGGUUUCGGCGGCGGCCGCGGGCUGCACCCGGGCCUGAGAGCCCAGCGCCCUCCCGCGGGGCCGCCCGCCAGUCCGCGCCGUCCGCGGGUGCAUUGGCCGGGUGCCUCUAGCUUCCCGGACACCCGGAGCUUCCGCCUAUCCAGCCUCCCUCGGCCAAAUUGCUGCGGAGCCCGUCGUCAGGGGGCGCCAAGGAGCCAGGGGGAAAACCGUGAGGCGCUGACAGGAGCCUCCCGGCGGUGCUACCCUCCACCUCCCACCUCCCUGCGCCCCGCCCCGAGGUUGGGGCUUUGAAGGAUGCAGCCGGGGAAAGCAUUAACUUUUGAGCUACGUCCAGAAUAGCAUCAUCUUCAUGGGUAUUCCCUACUCCUAGGAUUUCAGAAAACCUUUGAUAACUAAUUGAGAAAAUGCAGAAGAUCUUGCAGACAGAUGAAAUUACCAAUACACAAGCUUUUAGAAAAGGAAAGAGGAAAAGAACAGAGACAAUGGACUCAGAAAAUGCAAAUAGUGACAUGGAUAAAGGACAGAGAGACCCAUAUUCGGGAAAUGCCUUUCUGCCUGGUGAAAGCUCCAGUGAGGAUGAAGAGCCUUUAGCAGAAUUGUCAAAGGAAGAAUUGUGCGCCAAAAUAAAAAGCCUGAAAGAAAAACUAACAAACACCCGGAAGGAAAACAGCCGACUUCGACAGUCUUUGGUCAUGCUUCAAGCUUGGUCCAGAGAGCUGCCUUAGAGUCUCCAAUGAAUGUGUUCAAACAGCUGCCUCUGUUACCUUGACUCAUCUCAGAUACGGGUCCUGGCGCUAGGAAUCAAAGACUGUCUCUAUUAUUUUGGCUUGCUCCAGUGUUACCACAAGCAGUCACCCAGUUUGAAGAAUUGGUUGGUAUGGCCGAGGCUCUGCUUAAGGGUGGGGGAAGCAUGUCUACAUCUGCAUCCACCCUCUGGAGAGCAACAAACAACUCCUCGCCAGAUUCAUUUGCCUCAACAUGCAGUAAUUCUAAUUCUAACUCCAGUUCACCAGUUUCCUUAAAGCCUGAGGAAGAGCAUCAGACUGAUGAGAAACAGUUCCAGAUUGAAAAAUGGCAGAUUGCCCGUUGUAACAAGAGCAAGCCUCAGAAGUUUAUUAAUGAUUUAAUGCAAGUACUUUACACAAAUGAAUACAUGGCCACUCACAGCCUGACAGGGGCAAAAUCCUCUACUUCAAGGGACAAAGCUGUAAAACCAGCUAUGAAUCAGAAUGAAGUCCAAGAAAUCAUAGGAGUAACAAAACAAUUAUUUCCCAAUACGGAUGAUGUUUCAAUUAGGAGAAUGAUAGGGCAAAAGCUAAACAACUGUACCAAGAAGCCAAAUUUAAGCAAAAAUCUUAACUCUCAGGAUAUUAAAUAGAUCCUUUUGGUAUUACAGGUAUCUGAAACAAAGCACCUUCAAUUCUAAAUCUAGCACUGGAUUUUGUUGGAGAAUCUGCAGCCUUCCUGGCAGUGAGAAAGACAGACAUGUGCAUUGACAGGCUGUAAGACAUAUGUAACAUUGCUGAGCUCUCCUAAGGGACCAACAAGCUUGCUGAAGAAGCUGCAUGUAGAUUCCACCCUCAGUACUAGUGAUGCAUCAAACCAGAGAAUUUCUGCCAGUCAAAUAAGCAUGCAAUAUGGUUUCUUUGGAAAUAAGAAUUUCCCAAUCCCCAAAUACCCCUCUGUACAGUUAAUCUAACAGGAUAGUCAGAGCUCUUAUCAUAGCAGCCAAAACUUCAGCCCAUAGGUUAGUCAUUGUCCUAACCAAUCAUUGUACGUUGAUUAUUACCAGUGACUUCCCAUUAUAGUUUUUGGAUCUUUAGCAUAAGCACAUGCUUGCAAAAGUAAACAGUGAAAUAAUUAAUGUUGGCAAAUAUGGGAACAACAAAGUCAGCCCAAAAUCUGAUAAUCAUGUCUAACCAAGUAAUAAUGUUUUAGCAAUAAAAUUACAGGAUUAUUCUGUUAUCUAAAAAUGUAUAAAAUGGGAAUAUGAAAAAAAUGACAACAGCAAGAUGUUUUAUUUUAAUAUUAAACAAUUCCACCACACUUCUGAAGAAUAAACCUAAGUUUUUGUGAUUGUUAAAACAAUGCAUCAAUUUUCAGGGAAAUCUUUUUGUUUGUUUAUUUACCAGACAUGUUCUAACUUUGUAUUGCCCCAAGUAUAUUAAAUACAGAUGUGUAAUAUAAAGCAUCAAUAUCACCUAACACAUCGUAUAUAAGAUAUAACAUGAUAGAUAGUUGGUCGAUUACAUUGCUAUACUGCUUAGUUUUAACUGGUUUAUUUUUAUUGUAGCAGAAGAAAAAUGAACUUAAAAAAAAUAUGGGUUUGAUAAUCACACACAUGAAAGUACCAUUUUGUAACUCAACAAAAGAUAAAACAUUCUUCAUCAAAAGGCUUCUCGCUUGGUGUCAGGUUGUCACAUGUGACCACUGUGCAAUGCGAAGCCAUACUUCUUCAGUGCACAAAGUCAUGUUUAAACUUGGAAAAGAGGAUGCUACAGUAGUUUCAAAGUUCAGUGUUGUGGACCCAGGAAAUUUUCCAUAAGUCUUGCUUGAUAACAAUGUGAUUGUACAAAAUAAAUGUUCUUAAGGAAACAACUUAUGUAACAUUUGCUACCUUUAUGUAAACAUAAAUAAAUCCCAUUUAAAAGAUAAAA